rnacentral:rRNA from 1 species
AACGAACGCUGGCGGCAGGCUUAACACAUGCAAGUCGAGCGCCCCGCAAGGGGAGCGGCAGACGGGUGAGUAACGCGUGGGAAGCUACCCAUCUCUACGGAAUAACGCAUGGAAACGUGCGCUAAUACCGUAUACGUCCUUCGGGAGAAAGAUGUAUCGGAGAUGGAUGAGCCCGCGUUGGAUUAGCUAGUCGGUGGGGUAAAGGCCCACCAAGGCGACGAUCCAUAGCUGGUCUGAGAGGAUGAUCGGCCACACUGGGACUGAGACACGGCCCAGCCUCCUACGGGAGGCAGCAGUGGGGAAUAUUGGACAAGGUGCGCAAGCCUGAUACAGCCAUGCCGCGUGGGUGAUGAAGGCCCUAGGGUUGUAAAGCUCUUUCACCGGUGAAGAUAAUGACGGUAACCGGAGAAGAAGCCCCGGCUAACUUCGUGCCAGCAGCCGCCGUAACAC